rnacentral:lncRNA from 1 species
UGUCUCGAAAAACAAAACAAAACAAAAAAUUUUUAGAUUUUAUAUAUGUGUUUUGUCUGCUUGUGUAUGUGCACCAUGCUCAUGCAGUGCUCACAAAGGACAGAGAGGGGCGCCUGAUUCACCGGAACUGGAGUUAUAGACGGAAUCGAACCCAGGACUUCUGGAAGAGCAGCAAGUGCUUUUAAUCACUGAGUCACCUUACCAGUCUCUUUAAUACAUAUUUUUAACUGUAUGUACAAAUGCUAGACUUGGUGGGGCAUGCUGUAGGAGGCAGAGUUAGGUAGAUCUGAGUUCAUAGACCAACCCAGUCUACAUAGUGAGUUCAGAGCUAGGGCUACCCUGUCUUAAAAAACAAAAGACAAAACAAACAAACAACCAAAAAUGUGCAUGUUUAUCUGAGGUUUGUGUAAUUGAGUUCAGGUGUCUGAAGAGGACAGAAGAGGGCAUCAGAUCCCUGGAGCUGGAGUCCCAGGCAGUUGUGGAGCACCCAAGAUCUAAGAGGAGGACGGUGCCAUCCUUACAGCAGACAAGCCUUGGAAAUGCGCUCCAGCGUCCGCAGCUUUGAAACCCGGGCUGCUUACUUCUUAGUCACUCAACACUCCCGGCUCAGUUCUGCGAUGAAGGGCGUUAAACCCCCAAAGACGCCAGGCAACUCCUGCAAUGGUGACCCGUGUUUGCCCAAGGCAGCUUUUGGCCUGACAUCUUUCCCCCUACCCAAAUCCCGGUACUCCCAGGGGAAGACAUCGCUAUUUGGGAGAGAGUUUCCACUGCUCUGAGAAUUACACGUUUUGGGGAGUAGUCCUCUUAGUGUGCCUUACAGAGCCUCGGAACUCUGGUGGACUUUGUUCUCUCUGUGUUGAAGCCUCUGGGGAAGUUGAAAGAGUUAUGAUUUAUCAUUUGGCAAGGGACACUCGGAAACAGCUAACUCGAAGGUCACAGGGACCAGCUCUAGUUUUAAAUUCAGCCUCAGGAGGGUAGUUUUAUAGAGAGGGUACACGAAGCUUUCUGGGAAAACGUUAUGGUUUUGUAACAUUAGGAAUCUAGAAGUGAUUGAUCAUCUAUUACAGUGUCAUGUGGAUGCUUCUUGGUGCAAAAAUGAAUUAAAACAUAAC